CCGACCAUAGCUCAGUUGGAAGAGCACAAGACUGUAAUUGGCUAGCUGUGACAAAUCUUGGGGUCGCCUGUUCAAACCAGGCUGGUCGGA